UAGAUUUGCUCUUUCUGCACACAUGCACACACACACACACACACACACACACACACACACACACACACACACAUCACAGCUUCUCUCAGGACCUCAGCAAGAGAAAUCUGGAUUCAGUGAUGUGAGGAAAGUUGAAAUCCCCAUAUUCCUGAUUUCUUCUGCCGGACACGUUUAAAACCCAAAUCUGAUCUUGGAAUCUCACUUUCUCCCUGCAUCAUGAAUCAGGUUGAAUGAGGAAAGCUUCUUUAUUCCACCAAGAAGUUCCAGGAUCAGAUGUUUUAGCCACAUCAGCGUGCAACUAAUUCUUGCACUGAUUGCACUGAUUUUAAAAGAAAGAAAUUUCAA